rnacentral:misc_RNA from 1 species
CCGAGUGCGGGACCCCCAAGGUCCCAACCUCCCACCCGUGUCGUAACCGUACCUUUGUUGCUUUGGCGGGCCCAUCUCGGGUCCUCCCCAGGUCGCCCGGGGGCACUCCGCUCCCGCGCCCGUGCCCGCCAAAGACCCUCUUGAACUCUGGUUGAUUUAGGGAGUCUGAGUCCUUGAUAAUUAUUA